CAGCGUUUUGAUUUCCUCUGGAAUCUCAUGAAAUAGUUUUAUAUUCCUUUCCCUCAGCAAUAUCAUGACUUGACUAACGAUGGCAUCUAAAACAUUUCCCAUAAGAAAUUCUUCUGUCUUGAGCUCAAUGUUGCCNNNNNUCUAGCCUUGCUAAAUCCAUAUCCUCAAUUAUGGUCAUAAUCUGUUUUUCACAUGCAUCGCUCGUUUCAAGGAAUUGUUUCUGAUGUUCUGAUAUUGCGUAUCCUCUAGAAGUUUGUGGGUAAACCGAAUACCACUCAAAGGAUUUUUCAUUUCUUGUCGUAUGUAUGCCAACUCUUUAAGUUUCAGAAAGUUUACUUGUUCCUCUUGUCUAAGCCCAUCAAAGGUCUGCUGCAGGUCAGGCUCAACAAUCUGCAAGAAGCAGAAAGAGCCAAUUAUAUUCCCAUCUGGCCCCGCCCUUUUGCUCACUGUUAAGAACACCUCUACAAAUUUCCCUUGUCUGUUGAAAAACCCAAAUGGAAACUUCUCAGUUUCUUGACCAGUAAUUCCUUGAUACAAUAAAAUCAUAAACUUAGUUAAAGUAUCUUGACCUUUUAGCCGACACAGACUUCCAAAGAUCUCCCCAGGAAGCAUUUUGCCUAUCACCUCCUGUCUUCCUGUACCAGUCAGCUUU
rnacentral:misc_RNA from 1 species